CUUUUUACAUUUGGGUAAAUCGCGGAAAAAUUCGGAGCAUGAAUCAAUGCAAAUAAACAUCAGCUGAAUCACUUCUGUAAGAUAGAGAGAACUGGUCAGAUGUUUUACAAUAUUGAGUUCAUACGUAGCUAUAUGAAUAAGCUUUGUUCAUUUUCCUAUAUGCUGUUACGGUACAUUGAUU